CUUGCAUAAGUUUUUCAAGCACGUGUGUUGCAGGGCAUGCUAUUAAACAGACUUUCAACUUUGCAUGCACGGAGUUCUGGAACAUGUGAACCUGCAUCUCCACCAAAGGGAAGGACUGCCUGAAACUAUCGUUGAAGAGGAAGACCUCUCUCUGGUGGACUCCAGACCUCUGAGGACGAUUAGGGUCCGGGACUUCAUGGAGCUGACAGCAGCACACCAGUCUCCGGUGAGGCAGAGACAAAACCUUUAAUCAAAGAAAAGAGACUGAAUUAAAGGCAGCGGGAGAGAGAGUCAGUUCCUGUGGGAAGAUUACGCAACACCAACA
ensembl:processed_transcript